AGUGAACGCUGGCGGUAGGCCUAACACAUGCAAGUCGAACGGCAGCACAGUAAGAGCUUGCUCUUACGGGUGGCGAGUGGCGGACGGGUGAGGAAUACAUCGGAAUCUACUUUUUCGUGGGGGAUAACGUAGGGAAACUUACGCUAAUACCGCAUACGACCUACGGGUGAAAGCAGGGGAUCUUCGGACCUUGCGCGAUUGAAUGAGCCGAUGUCGGAUUAGCUAGUUGGCGGGGUAAAGGCCCACCAAGGCGACGAUCCGUAGCUGGUCUGAGAGGAUGAUCAGCCACACUGGAACUGAGACACGGUCCAGACUCCUACGGGAGGCAGCAGUGGGGAAUAUUGGACAAUGGGCGCAAGCCUGAUCCAGCCAUACCGCGUGGGUGAAGAAGGCCUUCGGGUUGUAAAGCUCUUUUGUUGGGAAAGAAAAGCAGCAGGUUAAUACACGGCUGUUCUGACGGUACCCAAAGAAUAAGCACCGGCUAACUUCGUG
rnacentral:rRNA from 1 species